AGUGGGAAACGAUGUGGGAAGGCAUAGACAGCUAGGAGGUUGGCUUAGAAGCAGCCACCCUUUAAAGAAAGCGUAAUAGCUCACUAGUCGAGUCGGCCUGCGCGGAAGAUGUAACGGGGCUAAAACUAUGUGCCGAAGCUGCGGAUUUGACAUUAGUCAAGUGGUAGGGGAGCGUUCUGUAAGCCGAUGAAGGUGUAUUGAGAAGUAUGCUGGAGGUAUCAGAAGUGCGAAUGCUGACGUGAGUAACGACAAAACGGGUGAAAAACCCGUUCGCCGAAAGACCAAGGGUUCCAGUCCAACGUUAAUCGGGGCUGGGUGAGUCGACCCCUAAGGCGAGGCCGAAAGGCGUAGUCGAUGGGAAAAUGGUUAAUAUUCCAUUACUUCUGUGUAAUGCGAUGAGAGGACGGAGAAGGCUAAAUCAGCCUGGCGUUGGUUGUCCAGGUGAAAGGAUGUAGGCAUGUAUCUUAGGCAAAUCCGGGGUACUCUAUGCUGAGAUCUGAUAGCAAGCUGUACUUGUACAGCGAAGUGGUUGAUGCCAUGCUUCCAGGAAAAGUCUCUAAGCUUCAGUUACACAGGAAUCGUACCCGAAACCGACACAGGUGGUCAGGUCGAGUAGACCAAGGCGCUUGAGAGAACUCUGCUGAAGGAACUAGGCAAAAUGGUACCGUAACUUCGGGAGAAGGUACGCUGUUGUUGGUGAUGGAACUCGCUUCCUGAGCUGACGACAGCCGCAGAAACCAGGCCGCUGCAACUGUUUAUUAAAAACAUAGCACUCUGCAAACACGAAAGUGGACGUAUAGGGUGUGAUGCCUGCCCGGUGCUGGAAGGUUAAUUGAUGGGGUUAGCGUAAGCGAAGCUCUUGAUCGAAGCCCCAGUAAACGGCGGCCGUAACUAUAACGGUCCUAAGGUAGCGAAAUUCCUUGUCGGGUAAGUUCCGACCUGCACGAAUGGCAUAAUGAUGGCGGCGCUGUCUCCAGCAGAGGCUCAGUGAAAUCGAAAUCGCUGUGAAGAUGCAGUGUACCCGCGGCUAGACGGAAAGACCCCGUGAACCUUUACUGCAGCUUGACACUGAACUUUGACCUUACUUGUGUAGGAUAGGUGGGAGGCUUUGAAGCUGGAACGCUAGUUCCAGUGGAGCCGUCCUUGAAAUACCACCCUGGUAAUGUUGAGGUUCUAACUCUGUCCCGUGAUCCGGGACGAGGACCGUGUCUGGUGGGUAGUUUGACUGGGGCGGUCUCCUCCUAAAGAGUAACGGAGGAGUACGAAGGUGCGCUCAGCGUGGUCGGAAAUCACGCGUAGAGUAUAAAGGCAAAAGCGCGCUUAACUGCGAGACCCACAAGUCGAGCAGGUACGAAAGUAGGUCUUAGUGAUCCGGUGGUUCUGUAUGGAAGGGCCAUCGCUCAACGGAUAAAAGGUACUCUGGGGAUAACAGGCUGAUACCGCCCAAGAGUUCAUAUCGACGGCGGUGUUUGGCACCUCGAUGUCGGCUCAUCUCAUCCUGGGGCUGAAGCAGGUCCCAAGGGUAUGGCUGUUCGCCAUUUAAAGAGGUACGCGAGCUGGGUUUAGAACGUCGUGAGACAGUUCGGUCCCUAUCUACCGUGGGCGCUGGAAAUUUGAGAGGAUCUGCUCCUAGUACGAGAGGACCAGAGUGGACGAACCUCUGGUGUACCGGUUGUGACGCCAGUCGCAUCGCCGGGUAGCUAUGUUCGGAAGGGAUAACCGCUGAAAGCAUCUAAGCGGGAAGCCUACCUCAAGAUAAGAUUUCCCUAGGACUUUAUGUCCUCUAAAGAGCCGUUCGAGACUAGGACGUUGAUAGGUUGGAUGUGGAAGCAUAGUGAUAUGUGAAGCUGACCAAUACUAAUUGCUCGUGAGGCUUGACUAU
rnacentral:rRNA from 1 species